UACGAAGGGCUAGCGUUGUUCGGAAUUACUGGGCGUAAAGCGCACGUAGGCGGAUCGAUCAGUCAGGGGUGAAAUCCCAGGCUCAACCCUGGAACUGCCUUCGAUACUGGCGAGCUCGAGUUCGGGAGAGGUGAGUGGAACUGCGAGUGUAGAGGUGAAAUUCGUAGAUAUUCGCAAGAACACCAGUGGCGAAGGCGGCUCACUGGCCCGAUACUGACGCUGAGGUGCGAAAGCGUGGGAGCAAACAGGG
rnacentral:rRNA from 1 species